CAUGGAGGGUGAGAAUCCCGUUCGGCUGAUAUCAUGACGCUUUACGAUACGCUUUCAAAGAGUCGAGUUGUUUGGGAUUGCAGCUCAAAAUGGGAGGUAAAUUUCUCCUAAGGCUAAAUAUUGGCGAGAGACCGAUAGCGAACAAGUACCGUGAGGGAAAGAUGAAAAGAACUUUGAAAAGAGAGUUAAAUAGUACGUGAAAUUGUUGAAAGGGAAACGAUUGAAGUCAGUCAUGCCGGCGGGAAUCAACUUUGGGGAAGGGGGAUUUUUUUGAACCUACUUUGAAGUGCACUUCCUUGCUUGGCAGGUUAGCGUCGAUUUUGAACGUCAUAAAAUGACUGGGGGAAGGUAGCUUCUUCGGGAGUGUUAUAGCCCUUAGUUAAUGUGAUGUUUGGGAUCGAGGAUUGCAACGGAUACCUUUUAGGCUAGCCGCCUGGCCUCUGAUUCGAUGUUGGGUUGUAGACAGCAUGCUGACUAUGAUCUGAUUAUUGGUCAAAAGGUUAGAGCGAGCAUAAAUUCGUUAAGGAUGUUGACGUAAUGG
rnacentral:rRNA from 1 species